rnacentral:rRNA from 1 species
AGUCUAUAAGGAUGGAGCCGUAGGGAAACCGAGUCUGAAUAGGGCGAUUAGUAACAUGGGAUAGACGCGAAACCAAGUGAUCUUACUAUGGCCAGGUUGAAGCUCCGGUAAAACGGAGUGGAGGACCGAACCGACUUGGGUUGAAAACCGAGCGGAUGACCUGUGGUAAGGGGUGAAAGGCCAAUCAAACUCGGUGAUAUCUCGUUCUCUCCGAAAUGCAUCUAGGUGCAGCGUUACGACAUAGUAUCAUGGAGGUAGAGCACUGAAUGGGCUCGGGUCCUUAUCAGGAUACCAACCCCUAUCAAACUCCGAAUUCCAUCGAUAUGUUUCGUAGCAGUGAGGCAUUGUGUGAUAAGAUUCAAUGCCGAGAGGGAAACAACCCAGACCUACAGCUAAGGCCCCUAAAUUUUUACUAAGUGAUAAAGGAUGUAGAUUAGCACAGACAGCUAGGAGGUUGGCUUAGAAGCAGCCAUUCCUUUAAAGAAAGCGUAACAGCUCACUAGUCAAGGUAAUCUGCGCCGAUAAUCUCCGGGACUCAAGUAAAAUGCCGAAGCUUAGGAUUUCCGAUUUAUCGGAAGUGGUAGGAGAGCGUUCCAUCAACCGUCGAAGGAUGACCCGGGAGGGCAUCUGGAGGAAAUGGAAAUGAGGAUGCUGGCAUGAGUACGCGAUAAAACACGUUAAAUUCGUGUUCACCGUAAGCCCAAGGUUUCCUGAUCAAUGCAAAUCAGAUCAGGGUUAGUCGGCCCCUAAGGCGAGGCCGAAAGGCGUAGUCGAUGGAAAUCAGGUAACUUCUGAAUAUUCCUGAACCUCCGACCCUUAAACCGGGACACCCAUCUUCCAGACCUGUCUGUCUUAUUGAUUUGACUUUCAGGAGUAAGAGGUGGCAAGAAAAAGCCCGGUGUAUGCUAAGGAGACCGUACCGUAAACCGACACAGGUAGGCGAGGAGAGAAUCCUAAGGUGCUUGAGAGAAUUCUGGUCAAGGAACUCGGCAAAAUAGCCCCGUAACUUCGGGAGAAGGGGUGCCCUGCUUCGGCAGGGCCGCAGUGAAAUGGGGGUAGCGACUGUUUACUAAAAACAUAGGUCUAUGCUAACACGUAAGUGGAAAUAUAUGGACUGACACCUGCCCGGUGCUGGAAGGUUAAGAUACUUUGUCAUUCAGACUUGUCUGAAGAAGCUCGGUGUUGAAGCCCCAGUAAACGGCGGCCGUAACUAUAACGGUCCUAAGGUAGCGAAAUUCCUUGUCGGGUAAGUUCCGACCUGCACGAAUGGUGUAACGACUUCCCCACUGUCUCGACCAGAAACUCAGCGAAAUUGUAAUGUCGGUGAAGAUACCGGCUAACCAUAGAAGGACGGAAAGACCCCGUGAACCUUUACUAUAGCUUGAUAUUGGCUUUUGAUUCUGUAUGUGUAGGAUAGGUGGGAGACUUUGAAGCCCUGAUGCUAAUCAGGGUGGAGUCAACCUUGAAAUACCACCCUUGCAUCAUUGGAAGUCUAACCGUGAUCCGUUAUCCGGAUUCGGAACAGUGUCUGGUGGGUAGUUUGACUGGGGCGGUCUCCUCCCAAAAUGUAACGGAGGAGCCCAAAGGUCACCUCAGCACGGUCGGUAAUCGUGCGUAGAGUGCAAACGCAUAAGGUGGCUUAACUGCGAGACCGACAGGUCAAGCAGAUGCGAAAGCAGGGGUUAGUGAUCCGGCGGUCCCGUGUGGAAGGGCCGUCGCUAAUCGGAUAAAAGGUACUCCGGGGAUAACAGGCUUAUCUCCCCCAAGAGCUCAUAUCGACGGGGAGGUUUGGCACCUCGAUGUCGGCUCGUCGCAUCCUGGGGCUGGAGAAGGUCCCAAGGGUUGGGCUGUUCGCCCAUUAAAGUGGCACGCGAGCUGGGUUUAGAACGUCGUGAGACAGUUCGGUCCCUAUCCUCUAUGGUCGUAGGAAAUUUGAGGGAAUCUGCUUCUAGUACGAGAGGACCGAAGUGGACGAACCUCUAGUGUGCCUGUUGUCGCAUCAGCGGCAUUGCAGGGUAGCUACGUUCGGCAGGGAUAAGCGCUGAAAGCAUAUAAGCGCGAAACCCAUCCCAAGAUAAGAUUUCCCUUCCCACCUCGGUGGGACUGAAGACUUCCAGUAGAAUACUGGUUUGA